UGGAUGUGAAUUGUCAAAAGAAAAGUCCAAGGCAGACAAGUUUCAGUCUCUCCAGAUCCUUUUCAGACCUUUUCUUCUGACAGCCCCCUAGAGAUUUCUGAGGUCUUUCUUGAACAGUUCUGGGAGCUGAGCCCUCUUCAUCAGGAGUUCUCAAUGGCCCCUAAGGUGACUUUGUUUUCCCAAAGGGUUUUCUUUUCUUUUGUUUUUUGAGACGGAGUCUCGCUCUGUCGCCCAGGCUGGAGUGCAGUGGCGCGAUCUCGGCUCACUGCAAGCUCCGCCUCCUGGGUUCACGCCAUUCUCCUGCCUCAGCCUCCCGAGUAGCUGGGACUAUAGGGUUUUCAUAGCAUCCUUACCUGUGGAAGACAAUACAUCACAUCCUGUAUUACCUUCCCCUGAUCUCACAGCUUCCGAAAACAGGAACGAUCACGGCUUUGAAGGUAGGCCACGCUGGUGUCACCAGUUUCUA
rnacentral:lncRNA from 1 species